UACGUAGGUGGCAAGCGUUGUCCGGAUUUACUGGGCGUAAAGAGCACGCAGGCGGUCGUUCAAGUCGAGUGUGAAAGCCCCCGGCUCAACUGGGGAGGGUCACUCGAUACUGAUCGACUCGAAGGCGGGAGAGGGAAGCGGAAUUCCCGGUGUAGUGGUGAAAUGCGUAGAUAUCGGGAGGAACACCAGUGGCGAAGGCGGCUUCCUGGCCCGUUCUUGACGCUCAUGUGCGAAAGCUAGGGGAGCAAACGGG
rnacentral:rRNA from 1 species